rnacentral:lncRNA from 1 species
AUGAUGUGGCCCAGAGGUCACAGCGGUUUCCACUUGCUAGGAGAAAGCUGCCCAGAAUGGAUUCAGCUGCUCCUUCCCUGGGCCAGAAGCCAAAUGACACGCCAGAAGGGAACUGCCCCUGCUCUCCGCAGAAUGGGGGAGAGCUACUGGCACUUCCCCCAAGCUGUGGUCAGAGCAAAAGGAGAUGAACUGAGAUGCCAGAGUACAGGCGGAUACAUUCCAACAGAAGGAGAUGCUAUCGAUGCUCACAGAAGAACCAAAGCCAGGAAGUGCCAUUACAAAUCUGGGGGACUCGAUCCUGAAAGGAUUUGCCAUCUGGAAGGCUGAGCUUGAUCUAAGACCAACAAUUUAAUUAGUAGAAAUAUAAAGUCUUCCACAUGAAUUUUAGAAACCAGCAUCCAAGAUUUGUCAAGGUUGGUGGGAUUUUAGUUUGUUUGAAAACAGAUCUUAAAGUUUUAGAAGACUUUGAGUUCCUCUGGGUCAAAAGUAUGAUAUAGCAGCACAGAAACAAAUGUGAUUUUAGGCUGCCUUGAGCAGCAUUGAGGUCAGGACCAGGACAGAGAUGAUACCACUCCCUGACCACAGCUAGAGGAUCUUGUUCAGAUCUGAGGAUUCCGUCUUGGAAGGAGGUUGCAGAGUACUCGAGUAUCCAUAGGAAGCCCCAACCUCUUUCUGUGGUAGAGCCUUCAGAGCUCAUAUUGAUGAGAUACUGUACAUUGACCCCAACAUGGAAACGUCAGUUUGGGCCUCUUGCUUGGAAUACGAAGGGACAACAGUAUUCUAUUUUGGAGGGACAUGGUGGAGUGAUGGCGCAUCCAUAGGAAGGCAGCAUGGCUUCAAGACUGUGCCAAGUAAAGACAGUUUAAGGAACUGAGAAUGUUUAACUUGGAGAAAAUUUAAGGGGGAACAUAACUGUCUUUAAGUAUCUGAAAAUCUGUUUUUUGGAUAAAAGUUAUGAUGUUUAUUUCACUUGGUGACAAAGGGCUUAACUAGGAAUAAUGGAUUGAAGGGAGGAAGUUUCAGGUUUGAUUUUAGGAAAAACUUCCUAAUCAGAAUAUUUUAAAGGGAAAUGGACUGGCGCAGAAGGUAGCAGGCUCG